CUUAGAACUAUAUAAACUAUAUUUUUUUUUAGAUUUGCCCACUAAUAUGUAUUAUAGGUCUUGUUAUACGAAUCACAGUAGGCUUUGAUAAUUUAACUUCUUACGAUUUUAGUUAGACAGCAUUCAUUUCCCUUUUUGGCCUUGUCUACUUAACAUUUAUAUUUUAUUGUUGUAAUUUUUUUUCCCAAUUUACGGGAAUGUUGAAACUUUUCCUAUAAAAAGAAAACAUCGACUGCUUUGGAUUUCAGGAUCUUGAAAUCUGUUUUCUGAAAGCCAAUCAGCGGUCGAUAUUUACCAUCUCAGUGCCUAUUUCCGUGAAGAAGUUCAAUUUUAAGGUUGGGGAAUUUCGCCUGAUAUAAUCUACGACCUACUCUAAGGUCAGGAUGUGCUCGCCGUGCUACUCGUGCAACUAUUCCUGCACCACGCCCUGCAAUGGUUGCUGCUCUGGAUGUUGCGGCUGCAACGGCAACUGCGGGGGCGGAGGCUGCUCCGCCGCCUGCUUCUGCUACCCUAACUGUGGCGGAUGUGGACCCUGCUGUUAAGAACCUACUCAGAAAGAAAUUUUGGUGCUAUUUAUAAUAAAAUCUGUAGUUAAUUA